rnacentral:rRNA from 1 species
GGAAGUAAAAGUCGUAACAAGGUUUCCGUAGGUGAACCUGCGGAAGGAUCAUUAGUGAAUAUAGGACGUCCAACUUAACUUGGAGUCCGAACUCUCACUUUCUAACCCUGUGCACUUGUUUGGGAUAGUAACUCUCGCAAGAGAGCGAACUCCUAUUCACUUAUAAACACAAAGUCUAUGAAUGUAUUAAAUUUUAUAACAAAAUAAAACUUUCAACAACGGAUCUCUUGGCUCUCGCAUCGAUGAAGAACGCAGCGAAAUGCGAUAAGUAAUGUGAAUUGCAGAAUUCAGUGAAUCAUCGAAUCUUUGAACGCACCUUGCGCUCCAUGGUAUUCCGUGGAGCAUGCCUGUUUGAGUGUCAUGAAUACUUCAACCCUCCUCUUUCUUAAUGAUUGAAGAGGUGUUUGGUUUCUGAGCGCUGCUGGCCUUUACGGUCUAGCUCGUUCGUAAUGCAUUAGCAUCCGCAAUCGAACUUCGGAUUGACUUGGCGUAAUAGACUAUUCGCUGAGGAAUUCUAGUCUUCGGACUAGAGCCGGGUUGGGUUAAAGGAAGCUUCUAAUCAGAAUGUCUACAUUUUAAGAUUAGAUCUCAAAUCAGGUAGGACUACCCGCUGAACUUAAGCAUAUCAAUAAGCGGAGGA